AUGAUUUAUUAGUGAAGUUUGUGUCGCAUGUGAUUUCGGAGUCUUUAGUCAAAAGUUACAUUUUGUGAACAAGAGUCACGACGUUAUCGCUUACACUUUACACUAUUAUUAAUUCGUUCAGUUUCCAAACUAUUCUGUGCUACCGUCAUAUUUUGGUCAUUACAUAUCGUCUAUUAUAUAUCACAUAAAUACAGUUUUUAGUGAUUCGACAAAAUAAGAUCAAUGUCCAAUGAACGUGACUGUGACUAUUUACAUUUUAACAUUGUAAUAAAAUUAUCGCCAUGUAUUCAGUUCCAGGCUAUAGUUUCAUUCAUCCAAAGUACAUUGAAAAACCCAGCAGCGGCCAUAGGUAUUGCAAUCCUAGAAUCAGCAUUAUCUACGGUUGUUCCUUUACGCUUCACAACAAGUUUCCCCGUAAGUGUAUCAAACGCCAUUUCCUGUCUGCUUGAUCGCUUAGUUGAGUCUGUUUCCCAUUUUCCCGUAGUUGCAUUGAAUCGUUUAGAAAGGGUUCCAUCGCUUUGAGUUAAGUGGAGUCCUCUUUGAACAACUUUUGGAUCAGAACGUUUAGAAGACCGGCUCAUUUUAAGGUGAACAGAUCAAUUGAGCGAAGAAUUUAUGCAACUUUUACAAUAAAACUACUCCUUCGCUCUACCAGCUGAGC